GUGAGGAAUUUUCCGCAAUGGGCGAAAGCCUGACGGAGCAAUGCCGCGUGAAGGAUGAAGGCCUAUGGGUUGUAAACUUCUUUUCUCAGAAAAGAAUUAUGACGGUAUCUGAGGAAUAAGCAUCGGCUAACUCUGUGCCAGCAGCCGCGGUAAGACAGAGGAUGCAAUCGUUAUCCGGAAUGAUUGGGCGUAAAGCGUCUGUAGGUUGUUUAAAAAGUAUUCUGUCAAAGAUUAGGGCUUAACCCUAGAUAGGCAGAAUAAACUUUUAAGCUAGAGUUUGGUAGAGGCAGAGGGAAUUCCCGGUGGAGCGGUGAAAUGCGUAGAUAUCGGGAGGAACACCAAAGGCGAAGGCACUCUGCUGGGCCAAUACUAACACUGAGAGACGAAAGCGAGGGGAGCAAAUGGGAUUAGAAACCCGAGUAGUCC
rnacentral:rRNA from 1 species